AUUGAACGCUGGCGGCAGGCCUAACACAUGCAAGUCGAACGAGGGGCGGAGGGGUGAGUAAUGUCGGGGAACCUGCCCGAGGGAGGGGGAAAACUACUGGAACCGGUAGCAAAUACCGCAUACCAUGGGUUGGGCCCAGAUGGGAUUAGCUAGUAGGUGGGGUAACGGCUCACCUAGGCGACGAUCCCUAGCUGGUCUGAGAGGAUGACCAGCCACACUGGAACUGAGACACGGUCCAGACUCCUACGGGAGGCAGCAGUGGGGAAUAUUGCACAAUGGGCGCAAGCCUGAUGCAGCCAUGCCGCGUGUAUGAAGAAGGCCUUCGGGUUGUAAAGUACUUUCAGCGAGGAGGCGUUACUCGCAGAAGAAGCAUCGGCUAACUCCGUGCCAGCAGCCGCGGUAAUUC
rnacentral:rRNA from 1 species